UUUAUUGGAGAGUUUGAUCCUGGCUCAGGAUGAACGCUGGCGGCGUGCCUAAUACAUGCAAGUCGAGCGAAUGGAUUAAGAGCUUGCUCUUAUGAAGUUAGCGGCGGACGGGUGAGUAACACGUGGGUAACCUGCCCAUAAGACUGGGAUAACUCCGGGAAACCGGAGCUAAUACCGGAUAAUAUUUU
rnacentral:rRNA from 1 species